AUUGAACGCUGGCGGCAUGCCUUACACAUGCAGGUCGAACGGCAGCACGGGGCAACCUGGUGGCGAGUGGCGAACGGGUGAGUAAUGCAUCGGAACGUACCUUUCAGUGGGGGAUAACGUAGCGAAAGUUACGCUAAUACCGCAUAUUCUGUGAGCAGGAAAGCAGGGGAUCGCAAGACCUUGCGCUGAUUGAGCGGCCGAUGUCAGAUUAGCUAGUUGGGGAGGUAAAGGCUCACCAAGGCGACGAUCUGUAGCGGGUCUGAGAGGAUGAUCCGCCACACUGGAACUGAGACACGGUCCAGACUCCUACGGGAGGCAGCAGUGGGGAAUUUUGGACAAUGGGGGCAACCCUGAUCCAGCCAUGCCGCGUGAGUGAAGAAGGCCUUCGGGUUGUAAAGCUCUUUCGGCCGGGAAGAAAUCGCACGGGCUAAUACCCUGUGUGGAUGACGGUACCGGAAUAAGAAGCACCGGCUAACUACGUGCCAGCAGCCGCGGUAACAC
rnacentral:rRNA from 1 species